AGGAAAUCAAUUGAUACUCCCCUAGUAGCGGCGAGCGAACGGGGACCAGCCGAGCCAUGAUUGUGGUUAGAAUGCGUUGGAAUGCGCAACCAGAGUGGGUGAUAGUCCCGUAUAAGAAGCAUGAUUGGACGUAUUAAGUAGGGCGGAACACGUGAAAUUCUGUCUGAAGAUCGGAGGACCACCUUCGAAGGCUAAGUACUCCUUACUGACCGAUAGUGAACCAGUACCGUGAGGGAAAGGU
rnacentral:rRNA from 1 species